rnacentral:lncRNA from 1 species
UAAAGAGUUUUUGUUUAGAGUGUUCUGUUCGGAGAAUUUUUUGGAGUAUAUUGAAGAGUUAAUUUUAUUUCUUGUAGUAAAAUUCAUGUCAAGGUGGAGUUUGUUAGAAUUGAAUUAUGACCAGAAUUCUUAUGGAGUAUUUGAGUGAAAAUAUUGUUGGACUAUUAGGAGUUGAUUGGUAGACUUAAAGAUGUCUUGAAGGGGUUCAAAACGAAUAAAGAGAAGGGUUUGAAAUUUUGGCAUUUUUCUCUCUAUUUCAACUCAAAUACUCCACUAUUGAUUUUACCUAUUGUAAUAGGACUCCACCUUAUGUUAGACCCUUGUUUGUAUUAAUUUUCCUAAUACGUUAUGAAUUCUUGUAUUAUAAAUAUGUGGAGUAUUACAGAUAUUUAUUUGAUCAACGCAAAGAGUGAUCCAAAAAAUG